UUGUAGAAACUAAAAUCACAAAUUCCUCUAAUCAGGAAAAACUAAAAGAUAACAAAAACGUUAGCUUUAGAACCAACUUUUAAAGUUCUGUAGAAAUUAACUUGAUAAAUAAAUACCAUAUACGUGGUUUUACGAUUCUACACAGGUUUUUCUCAAAUGAUGUAAUUCUGGGAAAAGAAACAAGAACAUUGACUUUGAUGAGGAGGAAGUCCACUACAAGUGGCAGUGAUUGGUUAUUCAUUUCAUCAUUUGCUAUCAUCCUAGUUGCUCUGGAGAGGUUCAGGGGAAGAGAUGAACUAGGACCACAGUCAUCUGUUCUGUCGUUUCCAGUUUCUUUGCUUUCUUCUCUGAGGAAAUUAGAGUCCAGUAGAGUAACUUCAGCCAAGGACAAGCAUCUUAUUCUCCAGGAGAUAUGAAAAAAGCAGUUGAGGAAAGACACGUAUUUUCUCAGAGAUGGCCACUUUCCAAGAAAGGAGGACGGAGACUUUUGAAGUUCCUUUGUAAUCUUCAUGAUCAUUCCUUAUGAUCUCCGUGGUGAGCAGCCCUGAGUAUACAGCAGAAUAUCAGUUCUUCAGCUGAAGGGACUAUGGCUUCAUCUGGUGUCUAUGGCUUAUCACACAGUCAGUGCCCAGGGCAAAUGAACCCCACAAAAAAUGCAAGAGAAAUGGUGAGCAAGGGCGCUAAAGAAGUUACCUCUGUUGAACCCAGGACUUCUGUUCUGUCCUCAAGUGUCAUCCAUCUUUGAACAGUACU